rnacentral:lncRNA from 1 species
AAGUGAUAAACCAAAGGUUCACGACGUGAGCAAGGAUUGAUUCACGACGUGAGGAGUCACAUGGCCACCUUCCGAAGCUAGGGACGCAAAUGGCAAGACUACGGGAUGAUCAUGCAAGACUCACGACGUGAGCCUUAUGAAACUCAUGACGUGAGUUUCUAAAAUCCUUACUAUAAAAGCAGGUCCGACUUCAGCCAUUCUUACACCUAAUCUUCUUCCCUCUCUCUCCUUUGCUGAGGCCAUUUUGCAUCCCGAGCCCCGACGAUCUCAUAUGCUGACCGUUUCUACUUAGAUAACAUAAAAUCACGCUACUAGGGUGAGUUUCACGGCCCCACUUUCUAAUAUUUCAGGGGAAAACGCAUGCUAGAUAUUAUAUAUAUGUUAUUAUUAUGUCUAUAUGAUAGUAUAUAAUUAUGAUAACCGGGAUAUGAUUGUUCUAAAUAUAAUAUUUUGAAUAUAUACAACUAUUAUCAACUUAUCAGUAUGUUAAUUUACUAAUAUAGAUCUUGAGUUAUACUUAGGAUUCUAUAUAUAUGUUGUGUGCGAUAUAAUACCGAAGUUAUAUUUGAAAGUUCUAUAUGUUAAGUUAUAAAGUAUGUUGCUAUUAAUAGUUUUAUGUCAAGAUAAAACUGGAUAUGUUAUAUGUUGUUAUUGUUAGUUUUAUGUCAAGAUAAAACUGGAUAUGUUAUAUGUUGUUAUUGUUAGUUUUAUGUUAAGAUAAAACUUGGUAUUGUUAUUGAUAGUUUUAUGUCAAGAUAAAACUAGAAACGUUAUAUGUUGUUAUUAUUGGUUUUAGGUCAAGAUAAAACCUGGUUUUACUUCAAGAUAUAGCUGUUAUAUUGCCUAAAUAUUAUGAAGUUAGAUGUAAUGUUUAAAAGCAUAGUCUAGUAACUUAGGGUUUUAGACAUGAAGAUGCUUUUGUUGUUAGAGCUAUAGGAAGUCGUCAAAGUCUACAUGAGUAAUUGUAUUCAUCAACUAAGAUUGGGGAUCUUAGCGGAAAUCCUCUGAACUGUAACCGUUAAUCCCGUGUGAGCGAGGAAGUCGUGUAUAAUUAGUAUACAGGUUGACCACCCCACUUGUGACUGUUGGCUACAGUCAACCAAAAGCAAGUGAUGAACUAUCCUUUUAUUUGUUAUUGUUUCGGCGUUCAUGAAGCGUACGGUGUUGUUUCUCAUGGUAAAUCAUGAGUGUGUUCUAUCAGAGAUAUUAUGUCAUAGCAGCAGUUACAGGCUUAUGGUAGCAGAUUGUUAGAAACAUUAUACGUUGUCGUAUACAAGUACUAAUGUUAAGUAUAAGUUUUCCCCUACUUAUACCUUAGGAUUAAGAAAUGUUAAGGAAUAAUACUUAUUUGAUAAGUAUACUAUUAUACCUAAUAUACAUACUAAAUGUUGGAGAGUCAAAAUGAUACUUUCAAAACUAUACUUUUGAAUGUGUGAAAAUAUAUUAUUUUAUGGAGUCAAAACGUGUGGACUCACCAACUUUAUGUUGACGUAUUUUUAAAAUGCAUGUGUUUUUAGGAACUUGAAAAGCUAGUAUGUAUUUGAACAUGAGAAGUUUUACUAUUAUCUUUCUGUUCAUUAAGAAGUAUGCCAUAGUCGGAUAUUAUGUAAUAAAUAGUAGGAAAACAAUAAUGUAACUUUCAAUAAUCAAUAAAGGUAUGUAUUUUCUUUAGCAUUGUUCAAUGUAUGUUAUAUAGCUGUGAUACAAAGAAUGACGUUGCACUACUCGGUGUUUCCGCCGACGGCUGGGGUGUGACAAAUUUGGUAUCAGAGCUAUUAACUAUAGUGAACUGGUACUUUCUUAGGAAAGCACGUCUAUAGUUUAGGACUUACUCUAUUUGGUUUAGGUAUAUCCCUUACCCUAUAAAUAAAAAAUAUUAUUAAUUAUUCUAUUGAAGGACUACUUACGGGAGCGGUGACAAGGAUAGACAUGUCAAUUUGGGUUGCUGGAUUUCAGAAAGCUAUAUGCUAAAAUGAUCCUGCCCUUUCGACAGUCCUGACUGGCCGGAGCCUUAUCAGAUAGACCUGAAGUAACAAACAAUAGUAAAAGCAGGAAUACAAUAAAUAAGAAUAUAGAGUCAUAUAUAAAGACUCAGACCCGCGAUGAGAAUACACCUUAAUACCCAUAAUGUUUUUGAUCUCAAGGAUUUAGAUCAAAUAUUCCAACUAAAGUCUAUAUGUGCAUAGAUCUUAUCACAACUAGGUGUAGGUGCUCAACUACAUUUUAUUAUGAUCAGAUCAUAUGAACUAUUUAAUUUGGGAGAAAUAUUUGAUAGAAUAAACUCUUGGUGAUCCAAAAUGUAUAGGAAUCCGACAUGGCACAUUCACGAGAAUGAAUAAUUAUCGAGGAUACGGAUGGAGAAGAGGAAGUUCCAUUCCCUAUGAUGGUAGGCGAUUCUUACUACCGUAUAACUCUAACCACCUUUCAUCCAAUACCUUCUGACGAUGGAGCACCUUUACCCUCCAACGAAUGGGAAGAGAGUGAACCAAUGGAAGAAAGUGAAUCGAUGGAGGAGACAGAGUCGGUGGCAUCAUGUAACGCCCCGGGUUUUCUCGGUACGUUUGGUUAUUUUAAUUUAAUUAUCCUUGUAACCUUGGGUUAAUUUAUUUAACCAAUGUCUGAUUUCUUAUGUUAUUGGACUCUUUUGAUCAUCUUGUAAACUCCUUUUAUUGAAGUCCAUGGGCUAUGGGCCUAUUUGCAAAGUCCAUCUAGUUAAUAGUACUUAAUGUGUAAAUUGAAUCACAUUGGGAACACACAAGGAAACCACUCUAACCCCUCCCUCUCUCUCAAAAAUCGUCCCUCUCUCUCUCUUUGGGAUCAAGAGCAGCCAAGAGGCUGUUUGGAGCUUAAUUCUUGUUCAUUUCCAGCCUUGAUUUGUAUUGGUAUGAACCUCCUUAUCCUUUCUUACAACUUGAUUCAUAACCUUGUUCUAGUUUUAUGAUUUCAUCUUCACCUCUUCUCCUUCUUAUUUUAUUUGUAAUUGUAUGUUAUACAUCAUCUCAAGAUCCUAUCUUCACCCCAUAUAUGGUGGAUGAUGGAUCUAGGGGAUUACAUGUGGCAAAAGAUCAUGGAAACCCUAAAAGGGAGAAUGAUGAUUUUAUGUGCUUAUGUUUAUUUUCAUGUUGAUUAUUAUUACAUCCUUGUGGCUAAAUGAAAUCCUAAUGAUCCCUAACCCUUUUUAGUACCACCAUUAUCAUGGGGACUGAAUUGGGAUGAUGAACACAUCUUAAAAUGUGUUUCAAAAGGAGAAGGAUGGAUAAGCCAAAAAGGAAUCACGGGUGGCUACGAUUCUGUUUUCCAUCAGAUCUGUAGUCAUUUUGUAAAAAUCAUAUCUGGAGCUCUAGAACUCAAACGGACCCCAAACCAGUUCCAAAAGUUCACAAAUUGAGUUGGCUAACUUUCUUAAGAAGGCCAACCUCACUGAUAAGGGCUUUAUCUAUGUGAAAGAAUGGCAUCUUUGCUGUUAGGUCUGAUCCGGGUCUGUUCUGAUAUGUCAUUUUGUUUUCAUCAUUUCUAAGGCUUGGAAAAGGAUCCAGAGUGAUUCCAAGUUUCUAUAUGUUCCUUAUAUUAUGAAUUUAAGAUCUGGAGAAUAUGGGGUGUUAUUUCCAAUUAUAAAUUGGUUAGAAUGGAUCCACACUCCAGGUCAGUGGGCAGUCACCAGCUUUUGCUAGUGCUGUGAUUGUCCACAAUGUGAAUUUUAUAUCUGGAGUUUGAGAGAUGCUUUUCAUUCAAUUCCAACUCUGAGACUUUCACUUGUAUGUCCUUUACUUCUCUUAAUUUUCUUUUGGACGAAUUCUACUCACAAGUUGGGUAGAAUUGGCCAACAUCACUUGACUGUAUUGUUGGAGACAGAAGUGAUACACCAUUUUGUAAAAUUCAUAUUUAAUUCAUCUUUUGGAGUUAGAAUGAGUUCUUUAUAGUUAUGGAAUCCUGAGCAAUCAUAGUUUCCUAUAAAAUUUAGUUAAAGCUAUGUUUCUGUUUUAGAUUUUGGAGUAAAUCCGUUUUGAACAGCAGGUCUGUUUUAGAGACCUUGCUGUGAUUACUCUUUUCUCAACUCAUAGCUUCAUUACUUCUCCUUUCUAACCUUUAGUCCUUCUUAGGUGAGGUUUUGAAGUUUGCUCAAGCUUGGUAGCAUUAUUUGAUUGUUAGCCAUCCUUAAUACUCACUCAAGGUGAGUUCUCUCACACCGUUGUAUUGAUGAUUGUGUUUGCUAGUUAGCUCGUGUGUGAUUAUUUGAAUUUAUUAUAAAAGCAUGCUAUAUAAGUAUUGUUUUAAUUCGUACAUGUGCACUGUAUGUAACUAAUUAUGGAUAUGGGGACACCACCAAAGGAUACGGAUUUACCGGUGCGGUGGGUAGGUAAGAUCACCAACGUAAUACUCUUCGUGAGGUGCGGUGAUUAGGGCCAAAUGAUACGGGAUCUUCCCGGUGCGGUUCAAACCUACAAGUCCUUCUCGUAAUAUAGACAUUGAUUCGUUCUUUGCCUUUAUCAUUAUAAUUGGAAAAUGGAUUAGGGCUAGUAAAUAUGAAUUUUAGUACAAUGUCUGUGUUUGAAUUCACUAAGCUUCGUGCUUACGUUUUUCCCUUAUAACUUUUCAGGUGUUAAGAUUAAAGAGGCUAAGGCUUGACAUGGAGCAUCGGGACAUCGCUACUAGUUAUUUUGUUGGGACCUUAUUAUUAUUAUUACUUCCGCACUUAUUUUAUAUGAUUANGAUUAUGUUAUGACUAUUUCUGUUGUUUUAAUUUAAAUUAAGAUGGGUUUUAAAAGUUUAAAAUUUUUGCAAAAAUUUGGGUGUCACACAUCAUCUUUACCACCACCGAACACUCUUUACCGUAAAGUUCCAGGAGGAGUAAAAAUGAAAUGCAUUGCACGUAAAUCUAUACUGAUAUGGAAAAAGAUUAAGAAGAGUCAGAAGGCAACAUCUUCAUGAAGUCAUAGAGUUCAAGAUGAACCUGCACGAAUCGCACAAACAGUUGAUAGAUGGGUGGAGGAAGAAAAAGCUGCCAAGAUGUAUGAGACUGGUCAAUCAUCUAGACCACAUCUCCCACAUUCUUUUGAAGAUAACACUUUAUCUCAAUUGUUUGAGAAAAGUGUGAAAAUUGAAUAUAAGAUGGAAAUUGUUGAAGGGAGGUCUACUCAUCUCUCUGGAAGAGUGCGAAGGCUAGAAGGACAAAGGACACGAGAUCAGGAAUUGGUGAUGGAUGUCCAUCAUCGUAUAAAUUUUGCUUAUAAUGACAUGAUUACUGACGAUGCCAGGAUUGCAGACUUAGAGCUCUACAAUCAAACCUCAAGAAAUGAAGAAUGCACGAGAAUUCUUGAGCAGAGAACUCAAGCACUUGAAGAGCAAGUGGUUAAUGUCACUGACGUGCUGGGUCAUCACUUAGGUUUUUGGUAGAUAGGCUACAACUAGUGGUUAUGUAAAUAGAGAAAAUCAGACUAGUUAAGGAGAAAAGAGGAAAGUUUAUAGCAAGGAUGUACAAAACCUUGCAAAUUUUGCAAUGUUUAUAAGAACUUUUCUCUUAUAAACAUAAAUAAACUGAUGUAACCACUGGUAAUCAUAUGAAGCAUACGUUACAGUAAUCAUUACGUUGUCUAUUAUGUUUUACGCUGUGAAUAAUAAUUGGUGUAUUAAAUGAUUAACAAAACUCAUAAAAAUUCUUAUUAUUUAUAAUAGGAACUAAAACAAAAUGCCUAGAAGGAGUAAUCGGCUAAACCCUAACCGACCAUCAGCACCACAACAACAACCACCACCAGAAAUAAACCCCUCAAUAAGUACAAUACAACUUGAAGAAAUCAUAGCUCAAAGAAUUGUUGCGGCUCUAUCUAAUGUCACAAGAGAUGGAGUUAGAAAUGAAGGCCAUGUAGGGACCGCUAGAACAUGUACCUACAAAUAUUUUAUGAAUUGCAGGCCAAAAAUCUUUCAUGGAAAUGAAGGGGUAGUGAAUUUGACAAGGUGGAUAGAAAAGUCAGAAUCCUUCUUUCAAAUAAGCUUUUGUCCAGAUGAUUGUAAAGUACGAUUUUGCAGCAUGUACUUUCACUGACGCAACACUUACAUGGUGGAAUAGCCAUGUGAAUACAAUGGGAAUUGAUACUGCAAAUUCCAUGAAAUGGGAGGAGCUAAAAAUGAUGCUAGUAGAGGAGUAUUGUCCUAGGUAGGAGAUACAUAAACUGGAACAAGAACUGUGGACCCUAACCAUGAAGGGUUUAGAGAUAAAAGCUUAUACCGCUAGAUUUAAUGAUCAUGUUGUAAUGUGUCCAGCACUUGUAACCCCUGAAUAUAAAAAUAAUGAGCGAUAUAUCAGGGGUUUAGCAUCGCAAAUCAAAGGCAUGGUGAUCGCAUCAAAGCCUACGACUUAUGAUAGCGCCAAGAGGAUAGCUCAUCAGCUAACCCUCACAGAGAUCCAAGGAAGAGAAGUGGUCUCAAAGGCUGAGUCUCCCAAAUCUAGAGCAAACAAGCGCAAGUUUAAUAAGAAGAAUCCCAAACAAUCAUCUGAGAAAAGACAAGAAGUGGCAACCAACUACACAGCCACAACAACAGUACCUACUCAACCAAAAUCUUCAUGGUGCAAUCAGUGCAACCGUCAUGAUCCAGGUGACUGUUUUGUCUGCAUGAAGUGCAAGAAAAAUGGGCAUACUACAAGUUACUGCAGGAGCACAACACCUGCAACAGUCGAUCAACAAACCAAUAAUGGGACAGACUGUGGUGAAGUAAGAAAAUGCUUUGAGUGUGGGGAGGUUGGACAUAUCAAGAAAGAAUGUCCGAAGUUAAGGAGUUAAGGAGGCAUAGGACGUGGCACGGCGUUUGUGAUUGGAAGCAGAGAGGCUAUCCAGGACCCUUCCGUCGUAUCUGGUACGUUUCUUAUAGAUAAUUUAUAUGCUUCUAUACUCUUUGACUCUGGAGCAGAUCGAAAUUUUAUAACUCCGACAUUUAUAAAGUUGUUAAGUCAUAAGUCUAGCAUAUUAAAAGAAAACAAUGAAGUAGAAAUCGUUAACGGUCAAACUGAGAAAACACAUGAAAUCCUAGAAAACUGUCUGUUAACUCUUAAUAACUACCUUCUUCACGUCAACCACAUGCCAAUGCCUAUCAGUAGUUUUGAUGUUAUAAUUGGGAUGGAUUGGUUAUCUUCACACUGCGCCGAAAUUCUAUGUCAUGAGAAAGCCAUACGACUACCCUUACCAAACGGCAAAGCUCUGAUUAUCUAUGGCGAUAAAUCUGGGAAGAACCGCAAAGUCAUCUCUUGUACUAAGACCCAAAAAUAUCUAAAUAAGAAAUAUAAUGCACUCUUAGCCCACAUUGUAGAUAAGAAGAGAAAAACAAAAGAAAUCAAGGACAUACCUCAAGUAUGUGAUUUCCCUGACGUGUUUCCUGAAGAUCUACCUGGAAUACCUCCCAUACGACAAGUUGAUUUUCGAAUCGAAUUAAUUCCAGGAGCAACACCAGUAGAAAAAUCUCCUUAUCAGUUAGCUCCAUCUGAAAUGCAAGAAUUGUCUACCCAACUACAAGAACUUCUUGACAAAGGCUUUAUCCGACCAAGUUUUUCACCUUGGGGAGCACCAAUCUUGUUUGUCAAGAAGAAGGACGGAUCCUUUCGAAUGUGUAUUGAUUAUCGGGAGCUGAACAAGCUAACAAUCAAGAAUCUUUAUCCACUUCCAAGAAUUGAUGAUCUAUUCGAUCAACUGCAAGGAUCUAGCUACUACUCAAAGAUAGAUCUUAGAUCAGGCUACCAUCAACUCAGAGUACAAGAAGACGACAUUCCAAAAACAACAUUUAGACCUCGUUAUGGUCAUUAUGAGUUCUUAUUUAUGUCUUUUGGAUUAACCAAUGCCCCAGUAAUGUUUAUGGACCUCAUGAAUCGUGUUUGCAAACCAUACUUGGAUAAAUUUGCGAUCGUAUUUAUCGAUGAUAUGUUGAUAUAUUCACGAACCAAGGAAGAACAUGGUCAACACCUACAAAUAAUCUUGGAACUACUAAGAAAAGAAAAGUUGUACGCUAAAUUCUCCAAAUGUGAGUUUUGGAUUAGAGAAGUAAAAUUUUUAGGUCAUGUAGUUAGCAACGAAGGGAUUCAUGUUGACCCAUCCAAAGUUGAAGCAAUCAAGAAUUGGGAAGCACCAAAGACGCCAACAGAGGUGCGUCAAUUCCUAGGACUUGCUUGCUAUUACCGAAUAUUCAUCGAGAAUUUCUUCAAAAUAGCCAAGCCGCUUACAACACUAACCCAGAAGGAUACGAAGUUCAACUGGGAAGACAAACAAGAAGCUGCUUUUCAGAAACUGAAGCAAAUGUGGUCUAGUGCACCAAUCCUAUCCCUUCCAGAUGGGACAGAAGAUUUCGUCGUGUACUGCGACACAUCAAAUCAAGGAUUGGGAUGUGUGUUGAUGCAAAGAGGAAAAUUUAUCGCCUAUGCAUCACGACAACUUAAGGUGCAUGAGAAUAAUUACACUACCCAUGAUCUUGAAUUGGGAGCUGUAGUUUUUGCACUAAAAAUCUGGAGACAUUACCUAUACAGUACUNCGACCACAAGAGUCUCCAACACAUCUUCGACCAAAAAGAUCUUAAUAUGAGACAAAGGAGAUGGGUUGAGUUGUUGAAUGAUUACGAAUGUGAGAUUCGUUAUCAUCCCGGAAAGGCAAACGUGGUAGCAGAUGCCUUGAGCCGGAAAGAAUAUAUUAAACCUCGACGGGUACAAGCAUUAACUAUAACUAUCCAUUCUAACUUUACCACACAAAUUAGAGAAGCUCAGCUUGAGGGUCUAAAAGAAGAAAACAUCAAGAAUGAAGCUUUGCGAGGAAUGCAAAAGCAACUUAUACGAAAAAAUGACGGAAUACAAUACUUUAUGAACCGAGUUUGGACGCCUAGGUUUGGUGAAGUCAGGGACUUGGUCUUAGAAGAAGCCCAUAAGUCCAGAUAUUCCAUGCAUCCAGGUUCUGACAAAAUGUACUUAGAUUUAGAAGUACAUUAUUGGUGGCCAAACAUGAAGGAAAAAAUUGCUACUUUUGUGAGAAAAUGUUUGACUUGUUCUAGAGUGAAGGCAGAACAUCAAAAGCCUUCAGGUUUACUUCAACCACCGGAAAUACCAGAAUGGAAAUGGGAGCAGAUUUCAAUGGAGUUCAUCACUAAGUCACCCAAAACUCCUAGUGGGUUCGACACUAUUUGGGUAAUAGUCGAUAGAUUGACUAAGUCCACCCAUUUCUUACCAAUUAAGGAGAACGAUAAGAUGGAGAAGCUGACUAGAGUUUAUCUUAAGGAAAUUGUCAGAUUGCAUGGAGUUCCAAAUUCUAUUAUUUCUGACCGAGAUAGUAGAUUCACUUCACGAUUUUGGCAAUCUCUACAAAAAUCCUUAGGAACACGUCUAGAUAUGAGUACAGCUUACCAUCCACAGACUGAUGGUUAGAGUGAGAGAACCAUUCAUACAUUGGAAGACAUGCUCCGAGCCUGUGUAAUAGACUUUGGGAAUGCAUGGGAUACUCAUUUACCAUUAACUAAGUUUUCCUACAACAAUAGUCAUCACACCAGCAUCAAGGUUGCCCCGUUUGAGGCUCUUUAUGGACGAAAAUGUCAUUCCCCUAUAUGUUGGACAGAAGUUGGAGAUACACAAAUGGUCAGAGAACGUACAAGCGAUACCUUACGUACUAGACAAGAAAUAAUCCACGAGACAACUGAAAAGAUCGUGAAAAUUAAGGAUCGAUUAAAGGUUGCACGUGAUCGUCAAAAGACCUAUGCUGACGUAAGACGUAAGCUUUUAGAAUUCCAAGUUGGAGAUAAAGUAAUGUUGAAAGUCUCUCCUUGGAAAGGUGUAAUUCGAUUCGGAAAACGAGGUAAACUAAACCCACGAUAUACUGGACCUUUUGAAAUUCUGGCAAGAAUUGGUUCUGUCGCAUACCAACUCAAGUUGCCUCAAGAGCUAAGUAAUGUACACGAUGUUUUUCAAGUAUCCAAUCUCAAAAUAUUUCUAUCCGAAGACACUCUUGUUGUACCUCUCGUCAAAAUGAAACUCAACUUUGUAGAAGAACCUGUUGAGAUUAUGGAUCGAGAAGUCAAACGAUUAAAGUAAAGUCGUACUCCCACAGUGAAAGUUCGAUGGAACUCUUUGCGAGGACCUGAAUUUACUUGGGAACGUGAAGAUCAGAUAAAAGGAAAAUACCCCCAACUAUUUGACAAAACCUUAUCCACAAGAUAAAUUUCGGGACGAAAUUGUUCUAACGGGGCGAGAAUUUAACACUAGCCAAAAUAGGUCAAUAACAAUCACAUGUGAUUAUGCUAAUCAUGUAAUGUGAUAAAUGUACUAUGUAUUUCAUGAUAAAUUCUAAUACAAAUAUGAACUUUCUUUAUGAUAAAACUCAAAGUAUACGUCCAUACGAUUCCAAAUAUAUAGAGAACGUCUGAAUCUAACUUCGCAUGAAGAAGUUAUGAUAAACCGAACACUAUAAAUCCCUAUAAUUAGAGUAAUUUAAAAUAGACUUAGAAUUAGCUAUUUCAGUCUAAAAGACAUUUGUAGUACUCGUAAAUACCUACGCGUGCAUAUAAAGAACGUCAAAAAUGGAGUUUGUACGUGAAAGUUACGACCUUUCAAAGAUUCAGCUGUCAAAAACCCUAGUCUGAAUGAACUCACGAGGUGAACAUAAAUGUUCACGAGGUGAAGAGUCAUAAGGCCAGAUUUCGGAGAUAGUAAGUGCAUGGCAAGUCUACGAAGUGAUAAACCAAAGGUUCACGACGUGAGCAAGGAUUGAUUCACGACGUGAGGAGUCACAUGGCCACCUUCCGAAGCUAGGGACGCAAAUAGCAAGACUAUGGGAUGAUCAUGCAAGACUCACGACGUGAGCCUUAUGAAACUCACGACGUGAGUUUUUAAAAUUGUCACUAUAAUUAGCUAGUCCGACUUCAGCCAUUCUUACACCUAAACUUCUUCCCUUUCUCUCCUUUGCUGAGGCCAUUUUGCAUCCCGAGCCCCGAUGAUCUCGUCUGCUGACCGUUUCUGCUUAGAUAACAUAAAACCACGCUACUAGGGUGAGUUUCACGGCCCCACUUUCUAAUAUUUCAGGGGAAAAUGCAUGCUAGAUAUUAUAUAUAUGUUAUUAUUAUGUCUAUAUGAUAGUAUAUAGUUAUGAUAACCCGGAUAUGAUUGUUCUAAAUACAAUAUUUUGAAUAUAUACAACUAUUAUCAACUAAUCAGUAUGUUAAUUUACUAAUAUAGAUCUUGAAUUAUACUUAGGAUUCUAUAUAUAUGUUGUGUGUGAUAUAAUACCGAAGUUAUAUUUGAAAGUUCUAUAUGUUAAGUUAUAAAGUAUGUUGCUAUUAAUAGUUUUAUGUCAAGAUAAAACUGGAUAUGUUAUAUGUUGUUAUUGUUAGUUUUAUGUCAAGAUAAAACUGGAUAUGUUAUAUGUUGUUAUUGUUAGUUUUAUGUUAAGAUAAAACUUGGUAUUGUUAUUGAUAGUUUUAUGUCAAGAUAAAACUAGAAACGUUAUAUGUUGUUAUUAUUGGUUUUAGGUCAAGAUAAAAC